rnacentral:rRNA from 1 species
UGGUGGAGUGAUUUGUCUGGUUGAUUCCGUUAACAACGAGACCUCAGCUUACUAAAUAGAGCUUGCUUUCUCACGAAAGUAUUUGAUCAUCUUAGAAGGACAUUUCGGUUUUACCGGAAGGAAGUUUGAGGCAAUAACA